GUCAGCAGAGCGCGCACGUGAUUCGUGUAUUUGAAAAUGCAACCGUUAAUGAACGAAGUCGAGUCAAAGUGCUGGAUCGUGCAAUCGACGUCCGUAAUAACUUGUUCUCAAUUGACUGCCUGCCCUUUUUUGACAUGUCAAGACACUUCAGGAGUAUCUGAACGAGUUCACCGACUUGAAGUUCGGGGAAGUGGAGCGGUAAUGAAGAGGAGAAAAGCCUGCUCGAACAUCACUUGAGUGACAUCAUCUGGGACAGUUGGAACAACUCUACUCUCCACAUUUAAUUCAGUGUCAAUCCUGAUUUCAUCAACAUGGACUGAUGGAACAAAAGUCAUGCAAAUAUGCUGUUUUGUGUAGUGGUGUCACAAGAUAAAGUACUUCCUUGAUGAGUUCAGAGAUGGAUGAUCAAUCAAACAUAGAAUAUGGUUUCUAGCAACCCUGCAGGUAUCCUUCAUACGCCAAUGAGAGUGCAUAAAGCUUGCACAUAUUAUAAACGGUAUCUGUGCUAUCCCCAAUAUAUAACAGACCAAUUACAUUGCCAAAUUACAAUGGAGCCUAUCAAAGAAAAGGUAGACUCCAGCAUAACGUAAUAUGAAUAUUAAAAUAGAGAAAAACCAAAGAAGCACUGAUAAUUUCAUCAAAAUCUGACUAAGAUAAGAAGGUUAUGAUAUUUUGAGUUUCAAAAAACAUUAAUAUGCAAAACACAAGUCAAAUGAGGAUCAAAGACGUUCUUUUGUAUUUUAUCAUAUGAAACAUAGAACAGAUCCAUUGUCUUUGGCAGAGAGUAAUUGGUCUACCGGUAAUCUUAUACUUAGGGGGAUAAUAAUUUAAGAGAUGCUUUACAUAGGAAUAAAUAAUUAUGUAGUACAAUACAUUUUUCAGGAGCAACUUGGUCUGCUCAUCAUUAGAGUGCAGUGGGCUGAUUCAUAAAUCUGUUAGUAAGUUAAGAUUGAUUUUAAGAACGACU